rnacentral:rRNA from 1 species
UGUGACCUCAAAUCAGGUAGGACUACCCGCUGAACUUAAGCAUAUCAAUAAGCGGAGGAAAAGAAACUAACAAGGAUUCCCCUAGUAACUGCGAGUGAAGCGGGAAAAGCUCAAAUUUAAAAUCUGGCGGUCUUUCGGCUGUCCGAGUUGUAAUCUAGAGAAGUGUUAUCCGCGCUGGACCGUGUACAAGUCUCCUGGAAUGGAGCAUCAUAGAGGGUGAGAAUCCCGUCUUUGACAUGGACUGCCAGGGCUUUGUGAUGCGCUCUCAAAGAGUCGAGUUGUUUGGGAAUGCAGCUCAAAAUGGGUGGUAAAUUCCAUCUAAAGCUAAAUAUUGGCGAGAGACCGAUAGCGAACAAGUACCGUGAGGGAAAGAUGAAAAGAACUUUGGAAAGAGAGUUAAACAGUACGUGAAAUUGCUGAAAGGGAAACGCUUGAAGUCAGUCGCGUCGUCCAGGGAUCAACCUUGCUUUUGCUUGGUGCACUUUCUGGUUCGAUGGGUCAGCAUCAAUUUUGACUGUUGGAAAAAGGUCGAGGGAAUGUGGCAUCUUUGGAUGUGUUUAUAGCCCUUGGUCACAUACAAUGGUUGGGAUUGAGGAACUCAGCACGCCGCAAGGCCGGGUUUUAAACCACGUACGUGCUUAGGAUGCUGGCAAUAUGGCUUUAAUCGACCCGUCUUGAAACACGGACCAAGGAGUCUAACAUGCCUGCGAGUGUUUGGGUGGAAAACCCGAGCGCGUAAUGAAAGUGAAAAGUUGAGAUCCCUGUCGUGGGGAGCAUCGACGCCCGGACCAGACCUUUUGUGACGGUUCCGCGGUAGAGCAUGUAUGUUGGGACCCGAAAGAUGGUGAACUAUGCCUGAAUAGGGUGAAUCCAGAGGAAACUCUGGUGGAGGCUCGUAGCGAUUCUGACGUGCAAAUCGAUCGUCAAAUUUGGGUAUAGGGGCGAAAGACUAAU